GCAAUCCGAGUUAUCAAGCCUCUAAACAGCUCAAGCAUAAAUUUUGAUCAGAGUUUUAUGGCAUUGCGCACCUGUUUUAAGUUUUGUACCUACAUUUAUUGCAGAUUAGAUUUUGAGGAGUUUUCGAUGAAAGGCCCGCACAAAAACAUAGGCGUUUGCCGGAAAGAUCGAUUCAUGGUCACGACCUCUCUACCGAAUGGAUCGGGUAUCUCUGAUCUUUGUGGGGAAAACAAAGGACAGCACUUGUACGUUCCGGUGGAUCCUUCAGUGGCCGGUUUUACUGUAUCUUUGAUGGUCAUGACUUCCGGCGGAAGUCCACACUUGUGGAAAAUCCGUAUCACGCAGAUCGACUGCAAAACUCAGGUACAACUUAUGGCUCCAAACGGGUGUCUUCAAUAUUUCACUGAUCUAUCGGGAAACGUGCAAAGUUUCAAUAUGCUGGUGGACUUUACCAAACCAAUCUGGACUAUGCAAUCUGCAUCAAACGGUCCAUCAACACUUGCAGGGUCGAGUACCAACAGGCUGAAGGAUCCAAGUUCGGCAUUAGCUCUUUCGAAGGGACGGAGCUGUCGGACGGGAUCGGGCGGGCGGGGACGGUGA
rnacentral:lncRNA from 1 species